GGGGUUGUGGCUCAGUGGUAAAAGCUCUUACCUAGCAGGAGCAAGGCCCUGGGUUCGAUCCUCAGCACCACA
rnacentral:tRNA from 1 species